AAAGCUUUAAGUUAAAAAAACUAAUAACCUUCAAAGUUAUAAAUAUAUAAGAUAUAUAAGCUUUA
rnacentral:tRNA from 2 species